AGGCCGGACUGAGCUCGCGGUGCGGUACUUCCCUUCAGCUGUCCUUCUACACACAAUAGUUCGAAGAUGGAGAAGCUCUACACAGUCAGCAAAAACAAGGCCUGGAGCUGACCGUGGCUCAGAUCAUCAACUCCAUGACUGGAAGAUCAAACCUAUCAAUCCUAAAGAAAGUCAACCCUGAAUUGGAAGGACUGAUGCUUAAGCAGAAGCUCUAAUACUUUGGCCUCCUGAUGUGAAGAGAGGACUCACUGGAAAAGACUCUGAUGCUGGGAAAGAAAGAUUGAAGGCAAAAGGAGAAGAGGGUGGCAAAGGAUGAGAUGAUUAGAUAGCAUCACCAACUCAAUGGACAAGAAUUUUAGUAAACUCUGGGAGAUAGUGAAGGACAGGGUAGCCUGGCAUGCUUCAUUCAUGGGGUCACAAAGAGUCGGAGACAACUUAGUGAGAGAGCAACAAACCUUUGAGUAGGAAAUACGAAAUCCUUUCUACUGAAGUUGACUUAAAUUCUGCCCCUAACCCAUGAGGAUGAGAGAAAACUAUUUUACAAAAUGUAGAGAAAUGGGCAGUUUGCCAUUUGCACACAAAAUACUGAGACUUGGUAUAAAUCUUUUUAAGCUGCUGUUUCUCUGGUAAGAAUGAGAGUGGAUCUGUGACUAAAUCAGAAAGGAGUGUAGCCCUAUUUCUUGGGUAAGGUGCACAGAAGGAUGUAGAUUUAGAAGGGGAUAGAGAAUUAUACCAACAGGCACUUCCCUUCACUGGGGUAGGAGAACUCUUCCUUGCCCCACUGAAACUGGACUUUAUAUAACUUGCUCCGGCCAAUGAUGUGUGGGCAGAAGUAGCAUCUGUCACUUCAGGCAGAAGCUUGAAGACUCACAUUUGUUUUUUCCCUCUACCAUAAUGACCAGCAACUUCUCAGACAGGCUGCUCUGUCAGCCUAGAACUGGAGUGAAGAAGAUGUGAAGUUGAGUUUCAGCCAAGUUACACUGAGAAGGUGACAGGAGUAAGAAGGAAAUCUGUGUUUUGAGAUCUGGGCACCAUAUCACCCAAGCCUACCCUAGUCUGUUCUAACUGAUAUGUCUGCCAUUUAAAGC
ensembl:lncRNA